rnacentral:tRNA from 1 species
GGAGAGAUGGCAGAGUGGUCUAAUGCACACGACUCGAAAUCGUGCGUACGGGUAACCGUACCGUGGGUUCAAAUCCCACUCUCUCCGCCA